rnacentral:rRNA from 1 species
AACGAACGCUGGCGGCGCGCCUAAUACAUGCAAGUCGAGCGAGAAGACGUAGCAAUACGUUUGUAAAGCGGCGAACGGGUGAGGAAUACAUGGGUAACCUACCCUCGAGUGGGGAAUAACUAGCCGAAAGGUUAGCUAAUACCGCGUACGCUCCUUGGACUUCGGUUCAGGGAGGAAAGCGAUACCGUGGGUAUCGCGCUCUUGGAUGGGCUCAUGUCCUAUCAGCUUGUUGGUGAGGAACGGCUCACCAAGGCUUCGACGGGUAGCUGGUCUGAGAGGACGAUCAGCCACACUGGCACUGCGACACGGGCCAGACUCCUACGGGAGGCAGCAGUAAGGAAUAUUGCGCAAUGGGCGAAAGCCUGACGCAGCGACGCCGCGUGGGGGAUGAAGGUCUUCGGAUUGUAAACCCCUUUUCGGGAGGGAAGAUGGAACGAGCAAUCGUUCGGACGGUACCUCCAGAAGCAGCCAC